rnacentral:rRNA from 1 species
GACGAACGCUGGCGGCGUGCUUAACACAUGCAAGUCGAACGGAAAGGCCCUGCUUUUGUGGGGUGCUCGAGUGGCGAACGGGUGAGUAACACGUGAGUAACCUGCCCUUGACUUUGGGAUAACUUCAGGAAACUGGGGCUAAUACCGGAUAGGAGCUCCUGCUGCAUGGUGGGGGUUGGAAAGUUUCGGCGGUUGGGGAUGGACUCGCGGCUUAUCAGCUUGUUGGUGGGGUAGUGGCUUACCAAGGCUUUGACGGGUAGCCGGCCUGAGAGGGUGACCGGACAAAUUGGGACGGAGAUACGGCCCAGACUCCUACGGGAGGCAGCAGGGGGGAAUAUUGCACAAUGGGCGGAAGCCUGAUGCAGCAACGCCGCGUGCGGGAUGACGGCCUUCGGGUUGUAAACCGCUUUCGCCUGUGACGAAGCGUGAGUGACGGUAAUGGGUAAAGAAGCACCGGCUAACUACGUG